rnacentral:rRNA from 1 species
CCUACGGGUGGCAGCAGUGAGGAAUAUUGGUCAAUGGCCGGAAGUCUGAACCAGCCAAGCCGCGUGAAGGACGAAGGUGCCAAGCAUUGUAAACUUCUUUUGUCAAGGGACAAAAUCAGGCUCGAGAGCCUGACCGCGGGUACUUUAAGAAAAAGCAUCGGCUAACUCCGUGCCAGCAGCCGCGGUAAUACGGAGGAUGCGAGCGUUAUCCGGAUUUAGUGGGUUUAAAGGGUGCGUAGGCGGGCUGUUAAGUCAGCGGUAAAAGCCCGGGGCUCAACCCCGGCGAGCCGUGGAAACUGGGGGUCUUGAGAGGGCGAGAGGUAGGCGGAAUGCGGAGUGUAGCGGUGAAAUGCUUAGAUAUUGCGCAGAACUCCGAUUGCGAAGGCAGCAUACCGGCGGGGAUCUGACGCUGAGGCACGAAAGCGUGGGUAUCGAACAGGAUUAGAUACCCCUGUAGUC